rnacentral:rRNA from 1 species
GAUGAACGCUGGCGGCGUGCCUAAUACAUGCGAGUCGAGCGAACAGAUAAGGAGCUUGCUCCUUUGACGUUAGCGGCGGACGGGUGAGUAACACGUGGGUAACCUACCUAUAAGACUGGGAUAACUUCGGGAAACCGGAGCUAAUACCGGAUAACAUUUGGAACCGCAUGGUUCUAAAGUGAAAGAUGGUUUUGCUAUCACUUAUAGAUGGACCCGCGCCGUAUUAGCUAGUUGGUAAGGUAACGGCUUACCAAGGCGACGAUACGUAGCCGACCUGAGAGGGUGAUCGGCCACACUGGAACUGAGACACGGUCCAGACUCCUACGGGGGGCAGCAGUAGGGAAUCUUCCGCAAUGGGCGAAAGCCUGACGGAGCAACGCCGCGUGAGUGAUGAAGGGUUUCGGCUCGUAAAACUCUGUUAUUAGGGAAGAACAAACGUGUAAGUAACUGUGCACGUCUUGACGGUACCUAAUCAGAAAGCCACGGCUAACUACGUG